rnacentral:rRNA from 1 species
AUUGAACGCUGGCGGCAUGCUUUACACAUGCAAGUCGAGCGGCAGCGCGGGCUUCGGCCUGGCGGCGAGUGGCGAACGGGUGAGUAAUGCAUCGGAACGUGCCCAGUCGUGGGGGAUAGGCCGGCGAAAGGCGGACUAAUACCGCAUACGACCUGAGGGUGAAUGCGGGGGACCGAAAGGCCUAGCGCGAUUGGCGCGGCCGAUGUCGGAUUAGCUAGUUGGUGGGGUAAAGGCUUACCAAGGCGACGAUCCGUAGCUGGUCUGAGAGGACGACCAGCCACACUGGAACUGAGACACGGCCCAGACUCCUACGGGAGGCAGCAGUGGGGAAUUUUGGACAAUGGGGGCAACCCUGAUCCAGCCAUGCCGCGUGCGUGAAGAAGGCCUUCGGGUUGUAAAACGCUUUUGUUCGGGAAGAAAAACUCUGGGCUAAUACCCCGGGGGGAUGACGGUACCGGAAGAAUAAGCACCGGCUAACUACGUG